AUGUAUCUCACGGUUCUUAUUUUCCGUUCUGUUGCAUCACUUUUUUUUCCGAGAAAACACAAAGAGAUUCUUGUGUUUAUUUCGAUUGAAAAGAUAGGGUUCUGUUGCAUCACUACAAAUAAUAUGUUCAACUACUUGGGCUGCUUUGAAAACUGCUAUGCGUACGCGUUGGGCUGCUUUGAAAACUGCUAUGCUACUGUACUGAAUUUUGCAAUAUGUUUCGAAAAUGGAAAUGUUUGUAGCCGAAUUGAGCUAAGAUAUCGAGAAGAUCUUUUGUUCCCUAAACGGUUAAUAGAAUAA
rnacentral:rRNA from 1 species